GGAAAAAGUGAUUUGAAUUUAUAUAUGAAUACUUAAGCGGUCUAAAAUUUAAACAAAUAAAUAAAAUUUAAAAAUUAAAUUAAUAAAAUAGAACGCUUAAUAAAAAAUUUGAAGGGACUCAGGUAUUGUUUGUAAUUUAGAAAAUUCAACUAAUAGAAAAAAUAGUGCAGGGGAGCAUGUCAAAAGAUUCUAAUAUAUAUAUCAAGAAAAAAUUAAAAGCAAAAUCUUUAUAUUUAGUAAUAAAAUAAAAAAUUUUAAAACAAAGAUUCCAAACAUAAAGAACAACAACAAAUUAUCAUAAACAUGCUAUGUUUUGAAUAAUAUUAUAGUCAACUAUAUUAUCAUUUUCUUUUUUAAAAAAAAAGGUUACAAGAAAAUAAUUUUAAGUGCAGCCAAAGGCCUUGAUUCUCAUAGUUAAUCAAGAAAUAUAAAAUAAUCAUCUCUAUUAAAUUUUAAUUGCAA
rnacentral:misc_RNA from 1 species